rnacentral:rRNA from 1 species
CUACGGGAGGCAGCAGUGGGGAAUAUUGGACAAUGGGCGAAAGCCUGAUCCAGCCAUGCCGCGUGUGUGAAGAAGGUCUUCGGAUUGUAAAGCACUUUAAGUUGGGAGGAAGGGCAUUAACCUAAUACGUUAGUGUUUUGACGUUACCGACAGAAUAAGCACCGGCUAACUCUGUGCCAG